GUUGAAACACAGGUCACCGUACGAUCACCGAAGUGAAGCAAGGUCGAGCCUGGUCAGUAACUAGAUGGGUAACCGUUUGGGAAUACCAAGAUUUGUCA